GCCUUCGUGGUCUAAUGGUUAUGACGCUCGCCUUGUAAGCGAGAGGUUGCAGGUUCGAAUCCCGUCGGAGGCA
rnacentral:tRNA from 1 species